GUGGGGAAUAUUGGACAAUGGGCGAAAGCCUGAUCCAGCCAUGCCGCGUGUGUGAAGAAGGUCUUCGGAUUGUAAAGCACUUUAAGUUGGGAGGAAGGGCAGUAAGUUAAUACCUUGCUGUUUUGACGUUACCGACAGAAUAAGCACCGGCUAACUUCGUGCCAGCAGCCGCGGUAAUACGAAGGGUGCAAGCGUUAAUCGGAAUUACUGGGCGUAAAGCGCGCGUAGGUGGUUUUGUAAGUUGGAAGUGAAAUCCCCGGGCUCAACCUGGGAACUGCCUCAAAAACUGCAUGACUAGAGUACGGUAGAGGGUAGUGGAAUUUCCGGUGUAGCGGUGAAAUGCGUAGAUAUAGGAAGGAACACCAGUGGCGAAGGCGACUACCUGGACUGAUACUGACACUGAGGUGCGAAAGCGUGGGGAGCAAACAGGAUUAGAUACCCUAGUAGUCC
rnacentral:rRNA from 1 species